rnacentral:rRNA from 1 species
UGGCCUUCGGGCCAUUCCCACAGCGGCGAAAGGGUGAGUAACACGUGGGCAACCUGCCCUCGGCACUGGGAUAUUUCGCGGAAACCCGGAUUAAUACCGGAUAGCCUCCGGAGCCUUCGGGCACCGGAAGAAAGGUGGCUUCGGCAUCCGGCCGAGGAAGGGCCCGCGGCGGAUUAGCUUGUUGGUGGGGUAAUGGCCUACCAAGGCGACAAUCCGUAGCUGGUCUGAGAGGACGAUCAACCACACUGGGACUGAGAC